GAUGAACGCUGGCGGCGUGCCUAAUACAUGCAAGUCGAGCGAAUGGAUUAAGAGCUUGCUCUUAUGAAGUUAGCGGCGGACGGGUGAGUAACACGUGGGUAACCUGCCCAUAAGACUGGGAUAACUCCGGGAAACCGGGGCUAAUACCGGAUAACAUUUUGAACCGCAUGGUUCGAAAUUGAAAGGCGUCUUCGGCUGUCACUUAUGGAUGGACCCGCGGCGCAUUAGCUAGUUGGUGAGGUAACGGCUCACCAAGGCAACGAGGCGUAGCCGACCUGAGAGGGGGAUCGGCCAAACUGGGACUGGGACACGGCCCAGACUCCUACGGGAGGCAGCAGUAGGGAAUCUUCCGCAAUGGACGAAAGUCUGACGGAGCAACGCCGCGUGAGUGAUGAAGGCUUUCGGGUCGUAAAACUCUGUUGUUAGGGAAGAACAAGUGCUAGUUGAAUAAGCUGGCACCUUGACGGUACCUAACCAGAAAGCCACGGCUAACUACGUGCCAGCCGCCGCUGUAA
rnacentral:rRNA from 1 species